rnacentral:rRNA from 1 species
UGGGGAAUUUUGGACAAUGGGCGAAAGCCUGAUCCAGCAAUGCCGCGUGUGUGAAGAAGGCCUUCGGGUUGUAAAGCACUUUUGUCCGGAAAGAAAUCCUUGGCUCUAAUACAGUCGGGGGAUGACGGUACCGGAAGAAUAAGCACCGGCUAACUACGUGCCAGCAGCCGCGGUAAUACGUAGGGUGCAAGCGUUAAUCGGAAUUACUGGGCGUAAAGCGUGCGCAGGCGGUUUGCUAAGACCGAUGUGAAAUCCCCGGGCUCAACCUGGGAACUGCAUUGGUGACUGGCAGGCUAGAGUAUGGCAGAGGGGGGUAGAAUUCCACGUGUAGCAGUGAAAUGCGUAGAGAUGUGGAGGAAUACCGAUGGCGAAGGCAGCCCCCUGGGGCCAAUACUGACGCUCAUGCACGAAAGCGUGGGGAGCAAAACAGGAUUAGAUACCCUGGUAGUCCACGCCCUAAACGAUGUCAACUAGUUGUUGGGGAUUCAUUUCCUUAGUAACGUAGCUAACGCGUGAAGUUGACCGCCUGGGGAGUACGGUCGCAAGAUUAAAACUCAAAUGAAUUGACGGGGUCAUAGCUGUUUCCU